rnacentral:rRNA from 1 species
CCUACGGGCGGCUGCAGUAAGGAAUAUUGGUCAAUGGACGCAAGUCUGAACCAGCCAUGCCGCGUGGAGGAUGAAGGUCCUCUGGAUUGUAAACUUCUUUUAUUUGGGAAGAAACUCCCGAUUUCCAUCGGGAUUGACGGUACCAGAUGAAUAAGCACCGGCUAACUCCGUGCCAGCAGCCGCGGUAAUACGGAGGGUGCAAGCGUUAUCCGGAUUCACGGGUGCGUAGGGGGGCAGAGAAGGCAGUGUUGAACGCUCCGGGCUUAACCCGGAAACUGCCAUUGAUACUAUGUGUCUUGAAUACUCUGGAGGUGAGCGGAAUAUGUCAUGUAGCGGUGAAAUGCUUAGAUAUGACAUAGAACACCCAUUGCGAAGGCAGCUCACUACGGAAAUAUUGACGCUGAGGCACGAAAGCGUGGGGAUCAAACAGGAUUAGAUACCCUUGUAGUC